AACAUUAGAACAUCCAAAAUAAUUUAUGCAACUAAGAAUCACAUUUUAAGCAUCUUUAGUUNCCAAACCCAAUAAAUCCAAUCGUCAUAAAUUCAUAUUAAAUCAAUCAUUUAAGCACAAGAAUUUCAUCAAAAAUUUGAAUUUUAAAGCAUAAAUGUGGACAUAAAUAUGCACUCAUCACACCCCCACACUUAUCCUUUUGUACUCCUGGGCAAAAUUCAUUAAUUUCAAAACUUUGUUCUGGGCCAUUUUAUUCCAUAUUUGCAUUUGGAUCAAAAGAAUGAAUUGUUGAGUUCCUUACCUUUGCUUAAUGCUUUUAUCGUUUAACUCAUUCGAUAAAUUUUGUUUGUCUUUAUUGAUACGGAGACGUACGGUAAUGUCAUGAGCUGAGGGGAAUUCCUUAAUUAUGCUAAUACUGCCU
rnacentral:lncRNA from 1 species